rnacentral:rRNA from 1 species
UACGUAGGGUGCAAGCGUUGUCCGGAAUUAUUGGGCGUAAAGAGCUCGUAGGUGGCCUGUCGCGUCGGCUGUGAAACUCGGGGCUCAACUCCGAGCUUGCAGUCGAUACGGGCAGGCUAGAGUUCGGCAGGGGAGACUGGAAUUCCUGGUGUAGCGGUGAAAUGCGCAGAUAUCAGGAGGAACACCGGUGGCGAAGGCGGGUCACUGGACCACAACUGACGCUGAUGCACGAAAGCUAGGGGAGCAAACAGG